AUUGAACGCUGGCGGCAGGCUUAACACAUGCAAGUCGAGCGGAGAUGAGGUGCUUGCACCUUAUCUUAGCGGCGGACGGGUGAGUAAUGCUUAGGAAUCUGCCUAUUAGUGGGGGACAACAUUCCGAAAGGAAUGCUAAUACCGCAUACGUCCUACGGGAGAAAGCAGGGGAUCUUCGGACCUUGCGCUAAUAGAGGAGCCUAAGUCGGAUUAGCCAGUUGGUGGGGUAAAGGUCUACCAAGGCGACGAUCUGUAGCGGGUCUGAGAGGAUGAUCCGCCACACUGGGACUGAGACACGGCCCAGACUCCUACGGGAGGCAGCAGUGGGGAAUAUUGGACAAUGGGGGGAACCCUGAUCCAGCCAUGCCGCGUGUGUGAAGAAGGCCUUAUGGUUGUAAAGCACUUUAAGCGAGGAGGAGGCUACUGAGACUAAUACCCUUGGAUAGUGGACGUUACUCGCAGAAUAAGCACCGGCUAACUCUGUGCCAGCAGCCGCCGUAAAAC
rnacentral:rRNA from 1 species